CUACGUGCCAGCAGCCGCGGUAACACGUAAGUUGCGAGCGUUGUUCGGAAUUAUUGGGCGUAAAGGGCAUCUAGGCGGUCAUUCAAGCUUGGUGUGAAAUACCGGGGCUCAACUCCGGGGCUGCAUUGAGAACUGGAUGACUGGAGUCACUGAAGGGCAACCAGAAUUCCAGGUGUAGGGGUGAAAUCUGUAGAUAUCUGGAAGAAUACCAAUGGCGAAGGCAGGUUACCGGCAGAUGACUGACGCUGAAGUGCGAAGGUGCGGGGAGCAAACAGGAUUAGAUACCCUGGUAGUCCGCACAGUCAACAAUGUACACUCGGUGUCCGGCCAAGAGGCUGGGUGCCAAAGCAAACGCGAUAAGUGUACCGCCUGGGGAGUAUGCCCGCAAGGGUGAAACUCAAAGGAAUUGACGGGGGCCCGCACAAGCGGUGGAGCAUGUGGUUUAAUUCGAUGGUACGCGAGGAACCUUACCUGGGUUUGACAUACACAGCAAUCAUAUAGAGAUAUG
rnacentral:rRNA from 1 species